UCUCUUUGGCAGAGGAACUGAACCCGCUCCAGCACCUAGUUCCACAACCCUCUCCAUUCAUCCCAAGAUUUUCUGAGGCCUAACCAGGGGCCAGGCACGAUGCUAGACUAGAGCUCUGAGCCCACUCUCCGUAGCGGUCAAGGUGCUUGCUCGAACUCUCCUUUCACAGGUCUAAAUAGCAUUUCCCCCCUUGAAUUAGAAGAAUCCGUGGGAUUCGCAGCGUUGGUCCAGCUCCCAGCCAAGCAGCCUCCGCCGGGCACAUUAGAACAGGGCAGAAGCAUCCAGCAAGGGGAGAAGGCUGUAGUUAGCUUGGAGACCACACCCAGCCAGAAAGCAGACUGGAGUUCAAUUCCAAAGCCUGAGAAUGAAGGCAAGUUAAUAAAGCAAGCAGCUGAGGGAAAACCAAGACCCAGACCUGGAGACCUGAUUGAGAUUUUUCGAAUUGGCUAUGAGCACUGGGCCAUCUAUGUAGAAGAUGAUUGCGUGGUCCAUCUGGCUCCCCCAAGUGAGGAGUUUGAGGUGGGCAGCAUUACUUCCAUCUUUAGCAAUCGGGCCGUGGUGAAAUACAGUCGUCUGGAGGAUGUGCUGCAUGGCUGCUCCUGGAAGGUCAAUAACAAGCUAGAUGGGACGUACCUGCCCUUGCCGGUGGACAAGAUCAUCCAGCGUACAAAAAAGAUGGUCAACAAGAUCGUGCAGUACAGCCUGAUUGAAGGGAACUGUGAGCACUUUGUC
rnacentral:lncRNA from 1 species